rnacentral:lncRNA from 1 species
UCACAUUGCUGGAUAUACAUAAUAUAUACAUAACGCUAAUGAUUUAUCUCAUCUAUAAAGAUGAUGUACGUCUCACAACGCUUGGUGUUAAGAAUAGUGAUCUCUUCUUUACUCUAUAAAAUAAAAGGAAGCUCAAUUCUCUCCCGCAAGUUUCACAAUUUUCCUUCUAUUAACGAUCCUCGAUUACAAUAACAAUACAAAUUAUAAGGAUUUAAAGAAAAUUUUGAAAGUAUAAACUAUAGAAACUUCCAUAUCCAAGUGAAAAACCUAUUGUAAUUACAACAAACACUAACCAACUUCUUAUUACAUCAUAUGAAGGUAAAAAAAUAUCAAGUAUAGAAAAUAUUUACAUCUUUUGAGAGAUAAACAUAUUACACAACUUACUUAACAUAUUGUAAUUAUAAUAGAGGCUAACCAACCAACAUUUGCAAGUUAAAAAUGACUACAAAACAUUGACUACCAAGGGUAAUUAUCAGAAUCCCCCUCCCCUUUAAAUGAGUUUAGUGAAGCACACCUCUAACCCCCCUUAGCCUUCCAUUUAGCAGCCUUGUUUGUAGCAAUUGAGUUAUUGCUACAACAACUCCUUUUUUAGCCUAAGAAGAUUAAAAAUAUUAGUACUUCCUUUUAAUCACAAAGUCACAUGAAAUUGCAUUCCACCAUAUCCUCUCCAUAAGUAUCGGAAUAUAUCACUAUUAUUGCCAUUUUCAAGAAAAAAACCCAAAUCGCAAACAUGAAAUAAAAACACAUAAAAUAUCACAAAGCAAAUAAUUAGAUGUGUUAGAAAUUGAACAAAAAACAUGCAUAACUACACAUUCAAUAAGAUUGUAUUUUAGACAAAUCAAAACUGCAAAGAAAAGAAGAAAUACAUGUCAUCCCAAAAAAGGGCUAAAAACUCUAAUUCUUAACUAAAAUUUUAAAACUAAUUUAAGAAGUUGAUAUUAUGAUUCACAUAUUAUGCAUCAUCAUUCAAGACUAUCAUAUGAACCAUGAUGUCAUAAUAGAUUUAAUGAAGACUACCUCUCACCACUAUUACCUGUAACACUCCUACAUGGAACUCCAAUUUUAAUUUCUUUUUUUAAUAUUAUAUCACUAAGGUACAAACAUCACUCACCGGCUGCAAAACCAAAAAAAAAAAAAUUUCAUCUUUGUCUAAAAAUAGAGAAGAAUCAGAAAACAUAUAUAAGAUUUGCAAAAAUUCAAAUCAACUUUUGGUCAUUGUUUCAUACAUCCCACGUUUAUGAAGUUAAACACAUAUAGAAUUAAUUAAAAAAAAUGCAUUACACUCAUCAGAGAUAGAUCAAAUGAUUUCUCUAUCCAUAAGAAAAUUCUCAAGAUAUGCUCAUUUUAUACCUGAUCAGUCUUAAAAUGAGACACGAAUGGGUAGUCAAGAAUGGGACAUUUUAAGUACUUAAAGGUUGUGUCUGCUUCAGGAAAAAGGUAAAAUCUAUUAAGUAAGAAGAACUAUGGGAUGCAUGCAUGUAUAUGUAUGUGAUAUGUAUUAGAUCAACAAUACGGAUGAAGCAAUCCCAAAAACAUCAAUAUUACAAUUUGACGGAAGUUAACAAAAUCAAUGAUACUGCAGUUUGAAUAAAAAUUCUUAUAUGCUUAACUGAACAUGUCCAUAUGAACAUAUAUCGAUAGAGGUUUAUGAAAUAGGAUACUAAGGAAGAAAAUUUUGAUGAUACCUUAUAAAAAAAACUGGUAGUCGAUGAACCUUAAUUGGAGAGUUUUAGAUUUACAUUGGGGAAAAACUUAAAGGGGUAAAAAAAAGGAUAAAGACAAAUGAAAAAGAAGCGAGUAAAUAAGUUUCUUGACUGUAUCUGUACUCAAUAGUCAAUAGCCAACAACCAAAAUUCCCAUUAACACGAAAUCCUUCAUCCCAACACCAAAAGAUGAAUCAGUUUUUUAUUCUGGAACAUAGUUGGGAUGAUUUCCAGCAACAACAGGUCGAAAUGAUGAAACCCCUUUUCCUUCCUUUGACUCACCUCCAUCCCUGUUUCUUGAACAACAUUCAAAAUGUAAAAGAUUGAGUUUUAUAUAAAUGAUUAAAUGCCCGAAAAAUAAAAUCAAAAUGGAGAGAAUCGAUGUCAAAUCUUACUUCAAGGUAGGUCUUUGUUAGAUUUCAUUUCUAGGUAAUUAGGGACGGGAUUAAUGAUUGAAAAGCCCUAAAAAUAGGAAACCCCAAUAUCGUUCGUGUUCAUUGAAAAGCCCUAAUAUCAUUUAUUUUGCACUUUUUACUGGAAGCAUGUGGCUUUAGUGGUGAAAUACUUUUAGCCAGAGAAGUGAAAUACCAAUAGAGGGUUGUAGAUGCACUUUCAAAAGGAAAUUAUAUGGUUAAGAUGUCAUAAACAGAGAAGUGAAAUACUUUUAACCAGGAAUUGCCCCAACAUAGAGCACAGAACAUAGAGCACAGAGAUGAACUCGUAGUUGGUCACGGGAUGGUAAAAACUGUAGAAAGCGAUCAUGCGCUUAAAAUAGUUGAUUACCUAUUUCCCUCUUUUGUUUGAAACAAAACACAAAGAAGUGACAAUCAACAAACAUCAUAACGGAAAAUGAAAAGAAAAAAAAAGGAGGAUACACAUACCGAGAGAUAUCUAUGGUGAGAGAAGGUUUGAACUCGAGAUCUAAUCGCCAUCACUUGCGAUGAAAUGUGUUUAGAAAUAGAGAGAUAGACGAAGAAAUAUACGAGUGACUACAAUAUAUCAAUAAUGAGGCAAUACAAAUGGCGGAGCAUGACGGCAGAAGUGUUAAAUGGAUUUAGAUAUUUUGAAUUUUACAGAAAGAGUCGUGGAUGAGGGAUUUAAGCUUUUUGGUGAAGAACAUAUAUGUAUAAGUAUGUGAACCCUAAAUGUGAGGAAAAUUAGCAGAGUGGCCGAGAUUAAGGAAAUAAAGAUGGAAAGUACGUUAAUUUGAUAGAAU